rnacentral:rRNA from 1 species
UACGUAGGGGGCUAGCGUUGUCCGGAAUCAUUGGGCGUAAAGCGCGCGUAGGUGGCCCGGUAAGUCCGCUCUGAAAGUCACAGGCUCAACCUGUGAAAGCGGGUGGAUACUGCCGGGCUAGAGUCCGGAAGAGGCGAGUGGAAUUCCUGGUGUAGCGGUGGAAUGCGUAGAGAUCCGGAAGAACACCGGUGGCGAAGGCGGUCUGCUGGGCAGUAGCUGACACUGAGGCGCGACAGCGUGGGGAGCAAACAGG